rnacentral:RNase_P_RNA from 1 species
GGAAAGUCCGGGCAACACAGAGCACCAUACUCUCUAACAGUGAGCUGUCGGCGACGGCAGAGUAACGUGACAGAAAAUAACAGCCUGAGCCACUUUCGGGUGACUUAGGCAAUGGUGAAAAGGUGGGGUAAGAGCCCACCGGAUGUCGUGGCGACACGGCAUGCCGCACGUCUUAUGGGUUGCAAGGCCAUGUAUACCGGCGAGUGACAUCCUUUGAUGGAUUCAGUCACAAUGGGUUGCUCGUCCAUUGCCGGGGGGUAGGCUGCUGGAGUGCUGAAGCAAAGCGAAGCACCGAUUAGAUAAAUGACACGGGCGCUGUGGCAACCUUCAGGGCAGAAUACGUAAGACCCUGACAGAAGUCCCACAGUGACAUAACCCGGCUUAUAGUCCUGCUACCUUU